UACGUAGGUGGCUAGCGUUGUUCGGAAUUACUGGGCGUAAAGCGCGCGUAGGCGGACCUGCAAGUCGGGGGUGAAAGCCCGAGGCUCAACCUCGGAACUGCCUUCGAUACUGCGGGUCUCGAGUCCGGGAGAGGUGAGUGGAAUUCCUAGUGUAGAGGUGAAAUUCGUAGAUAUUAGGAAGAACACCAGUGGCGAAGGCGGCUCACUGGCCCGGUACUGACGCUGAGACGCGAAAGCGUGGGGAGCAAACAGG
rnacentral:rRNA from 1 species